rnacentral:misc_RNA from 1 species
GGUACCUAAUGUAAGCAUCGGCUAACUCCGUGCCAGCAGCCGCGGUAAUACGGAGGAUGCAAGCGUUAUCCGGAAUCAUUGGGCGUAAAGAGUCCGUAGGUGGCACUUCAAGUCUGCUUUCAAAGACCGAAGCUCAACUUCGGAAAGGGAGUGGAAACUGAAGAGCUAGAGUAUAGUAGGGGUAGAGGGAAUUCCUAGUGUAGCGGUGAAAUGCGUAGAGAUUAGGAAGAACACCAGUGGCGAAGGCGCUCUACUGGGCAUAUACUGACACUGAGGGACGAAAGCUAGGGGAGCGAAAGGGAUUAGAUACCCCUGUAGUCCUAGCGGUAAACGAUGGAUACUAGGCGUAGUGCUGUUAGAAGGACUGUGCCGAAGCUAACGCGUUAAGUAUCCCGCCUGGGGAGUACGCACGCAAGUGUGAAACUCAAAGGAAUUGACGGGGACCCGCACAAGCGGUGGAGUAUGUGGUUUAAUUCGAUGCAACGCGAAGAACCUUACCAAGGCUUGACAUCCUGCGAAUCUUGGAGAAAUCUGAGAGUGCCUAAGGGAACGCAGAGACAGGUGGUGCAUGGCUGUCGUCAGCUCGUGUCGUGAGAUGUUGGGUUAAGUCCCGCAACGAGCGCAACCCUCGUCCUUAGUUGCCAGCAUUAAGUUGGGGACUCUAGGGAGACCGCCGGGGAGAACUCGGAGGAAGGUGGGGAUGACGUCAAGUCAGCAUGCCCCUUACGUCUUGGGCUACACACGUACUACAAUGGUUGGGACAAAGGGGAGCGAAACCGCGAGGUGGAGCGAAUCUCAUCAAACCCAGCCACAGUUCAGAUUGCAGGCUGAAACUCGCCUGCAUGAAGGAGGAAUCGCUAGUAAUCGCAGGUCAGCAUACUGCGGUGAAUCCGUUCCCGGGUCUUGUACACACCGCCCGUCACACCAUGGAAGUUGGUCACGCCCGAAGUCGUUAUUCUAACCCAAGUGGAAGGAGACGCCGAAGGUGGGACUAGUGACUGGGGUGAAGUCGUAACAAGGUAGCCGUACCGGAAGGUGUGGCUGGAUCACCUCCUUUAAGGGAGACUUCGAGAAGAAGUCAGCAAGGAAAUGGGGAGGGCUAGAAAAAUAAAGAAAGAGGUGUUGGGGCUAUUAGCUCAGGUGGUUAGAGCGCACCCCUGAUAAGGGUGAGGUCCCUGGUUCAAGUCCAGGAUGGCCCAUUGGGGGUAUAGCUCAGUUGGUAGAGCGCCUGCUUUGCAAGCAGGAUGUCAGCGGUUCGAGUCCGCUUACCUCCAGAGGAACGAGUUUAGCACGGUGAAAAGUCACUACUGCUGAACAAAAAGUUCAGUGAGAACCUUGAAAA